CCUACGGGGGGCAGCAGUGGGGAAUAUUGGGCAAUGGGCGCAAGCCUGACCCAGCAACGCCGCGUGAAGGAAGAAGGCUUUCGGGUUGUAAACUUCUUUUAAGGGGGAAGAGAAGAAGACGGUACCCCUUGAAUAAGCCACGGCUAACUACGUGCCAGCAGCCGCGGUAAUACGUAGGUGGCAAGCGUUGUCCGGAUUUACUGGGUGUAAAGGGCGUGCAGCCGGAGAGACAAGUCAGAUGUGAAAUCCACGGGCUCAACCCGGGAACUGCAUUUGAAACUGUUUCCCUUGAGUGGCGUGGAGGUAAUCGGAAUGUGUGGUGUAGCGGUGAAAUGCGUAGAUAUAAGGGAGAACACCAGUGGCGAAGGCGGAUUACUGGACGAUAACUGACGGUGAGGCGCGAAAGCGUGGGGAGCAAACAGGAUUAGAUACCCGUGUAGUC
rnacentral:rRNA from 1 species